rnacentral:rRNA from 1 species
GAUGAACGCUAGCGGCAGGCCUAACACAUGCAAGUCGAGGGGCAGCACGUCUUCGGAUGGUGGCGACCGGCGCACGGGUGCGUAACGCGUAUGCAACCUACCUCUUACAGUGGGAUAGCCCAGAGAAAUUUGGAUUAAUACCGCAUAGUAUACAGAUUCAGCAUUGGGACUGUAUUAAACAUUUAUGGGUAAGAGAUGGGCAUGCGUUCUAUUAGUUAGUUGGAGUGGUAACGGCACCCCAAGACAGCGAUAGAUAGGGGCCCUGAGAGGGGGAUCCCCCACACUGGUACUGAGACACGGACCAGACUCCUACGGGAGGCAGCAGUGAGGAAUAUUGGACAAUGGGCGAGAGCCUGAUCCAGCCAUGCCGCGUGCAGGAAGACGGCCCU